CCUACGGGAGGCAGCAGUCGAGAAUCAUUCACAAUGGGGGAAACCCUGAUGGUGCGAUGCCGCGUGGGGGAAUGAAGGUCUUCGGAUUUUAAACUCCUUUCAUGUGGGAGCAAAUUAAAAAGAUAGUACCACAAGAGGAUGAGACGGCUAACUCUGGCCCAGCAGCCGCGGUAAUACAGAGGUCUCAAGCGUUGUUCGGAAUCACUGGGCGUAAUGCGUGCGUAGGCUGUUUCGUAAGUCGUGUGUGAAAGGCGCGGGCUCAACCCGCGGACGGCACAUGAUACUGCGAGACUAGAGUAAUGGAGGGGGAGGCGGAAUUCGCGGUGUAGCAGUGAAAUGCGUAGAUAUCGAGAGGAACACUCGUGGCGAAGGCGGGUUCCUGGACAUUAACUGACGCUGAGGCACGAAGGCGAGGGGAGCGAAAGGGAUUAGAUACCCGAGUAGUC
rnacentral:rRNA from 1 species